rnacentral:rRNA from 1 species
GCAGCACGGGUGCUUGCACCUGGUGGCGAGUGGCGAACGGGUGAGUAAUACAUCGGAACGUACCUUAUCGUGGGGGAUAACGCAGCGAAAGCUGUGCUAAUACCGCAUACGCCCUGAGGGGGAAAGCGGGGGAUCGAAAGACCUCGCGCGAUUAGAGCGGCCGAUGCCUGAUUAGCUUGUUGGUGGGGUAAAAGCCCACCAAGGCGACGAUCAGUAGCUGGUCUGAGAGGACGAUCAGCCACACUGGGACUGAGACACGGCCCAGACUCCUACGGGAGGCAGCAGUGGGGAAUUUUGGACAAUGGGGGAAACCCUGAUCCAGCAAUGCCGCGUGAGUGAAGAAGGCCUUCGGGUUGUAAAGCUCUUUUGUCAGGGAAGAAACACCGGCUCUAACACAGUCCGGGAAUGACGGUACCUGAAGAAUAAGUACCGGCUAACUACGUGCCAGCAGCCGCGGUAAUACGUAGGGUGCGAGCGUUAAUCGGAAUUACUGGGCGUAAAGCGUGCGCAGGCGGUUAUACAAGACAGGCGUGAAAUCCCCGGGCUUAACCUGGGAAUGGCGCCUGUGACUGUAUAGCUAGAGUGUGUCAGAGGGGGGUAGAAUUCCACGUGUAGCAGUGAAAUGCGUAGAUAUGUGGAGGAAUACCAAUGGCGAAGGCAGCCCCCUGGGAUAACACUGACGCUCAUGCACGAAAGCGUG